AGACACUGUAAGAACACUGCAGCCUGGGAAGAGGAUGUGGGUUCUCACCAAACACAAAAUCUGCAGGUGUCUCAAUCCUGAACUUCCCAGACUCCAGAACUGAUUGAUGGCAGGAGCUGGAGUAGCCAUCUUGGACUUGAAGAUGAAAAACAUGUAUUGAGGAUGGAGAACAACCACCAAACUUGAGUACCUGAAGGGUUCUUAAGAAGCCAGAAGCAGUUGCUAGUAGUGCCUCACCUAAAUCUCCUUGGCCAUGACCACCAUUUCACUGGACACCAGCCUAACCUCCCAACUACCUGCACUCAAAUCUCUUUGCUGGGUUUUCUGUGGCCACCAGUGCCCCAUCUACCUCUAUGCAAGUGCUGGGCAUUGACUUUCCCAGUCUUUAUGGGAACAGCCUUCCCUGGAUGACUGCCAGGAGCUGCAGAAAGUACUCCACUUCUCUUGUACCACAAGUGGGAAA